GACGAACGCUGGCGGCGUGCUUAACACAUGCAAGUCGAACGGAAAGGCCUGCUUUCCCUUGUGGAUUGCGGGUACUCGAGUGGCGAACGGGUGAGUAACACGUGAGUGAUCUGCCCCCAACUUGGGUAUAAGCCUGGGAAACUGGGUCUAAUUCCCGAUAGGACUGCAGGGUGGUGCCUGUGGUGGAAAACGAUUUUCUAGUGGUUGGGGAUGAGCUCGCGGCCUAUCAGCUUGUUGGUGGGGUAAUGGCCUACCAAGGCGGCGACGGGUAGCCGGCCUGGGAGGGUGGACGGCCACAUUGAGACUGAGUUACGGCCCAGACUCCUACGGGAGGCAGCAGUGGGGAAUAUUGCACAAUGGGCGGAAGCCUGAUGCAGCGACGCCGCGUGGGGGAUGACGGCCUUCGGGUUGUAAACUCCUUUCGACCGCGAGGAAGCCACCUGGUUGGAAGGGUGGUGACGGUAGUGGUAGAAGAAGCACCGGCUAACUACGUG
rnacentral:rRNA from 1 species